CUGCAGCCUUCAGGCAGGGUGUCUACUCAGCCAGUGCUAAAGGCAUAUCCUCCAGACUGGCAGGACUGUGCCUGGCCGGCAAUGAUGCCUGUCAAUGCACAAAGAUCUGGGGGAACACAGGCACAAUAAUGGUUGGGAUAAAGAUUUUGUUAUUUGUGCUGCCACUUCUACUGCAGAACCUCUUUGAGAUGAUGGCUAAUAGUGUCAAUUCUGUGAGGUUACCACCGACAUCGGAGUGAUGAUGGCGGAAUUGGACCUGUUGAGC